rnacentral:tRNA from 1 species
GGGCCUGUGGGGUAGUUUGGCAUCCUUGUACUCUGGGGGAGUACAGACUCCAGUUCAAAUCUGGGCAGGCCCACCA